rnacentral:rRNA from 1 species
ACGGGUGAGUAACGCGUGGGUAACCUACCCUGUACACACGGAUAACAUACCGAAAGGUAUGCUAAUACGGGAUAAUAUAUUUGAGAGGCAUCUCUUAAAUAUCAAAGGUGAGCCAGUACAGGAUGGACCCGCGUCUGAUUAGCUAGUUGGUAAGGUAACGGCUUACCAAGGCAACGAUCAGUAGCCGACCUGAGAGGGUGAUCGGCCACAUUGGAACCGAGACACGGUCCAAACUCCUACGGGAGGCAGCAGUGGGGAAUAUUGCACAAUGGGCGAAAGCCUGAUGCAGCAACGCCGCGUGAGUGAUGAAGGCCUUCGGGUCGUAAAACUCUGUCCUCAAGGAAGAUAAUGACGGUACUUGAGGAGGAAGCCCCGGCUAACUACGUGCCAGCAGCCGCGGUAAUACGUAGGGGGCUAGCGUUAUCCGGAUUUACUGGGCGUAAAGGGUGCGUAGGCGGUCUUUCAAGUCAGGAGUGAAAGGCUACGGCUCAACCGUAGUAAGCUCUUGAAACUGGGAGACUUGAGUGCAGGAGAGGAGAGUGGAAUUCCUAGUGUAGCGGUGAAAUGCGUAGAUAUUAGGAGGAACACCAGUUGCGAAGGCGGCUCUCUGGACUGUAACUGACGCUGAGGCACGAAAGCGUGGGGAGCAAACAGGAUUAGAUACCCUGGUAGUCCACGCUGUAAA